rnacentral:rRNA from 1 species
UAGGGAAUCUUCCACAAUGGACGCAAGUCUGAUGGAGCAACGCCGCGUGAGUGAAGAAGGUUUUCGGACCGUAAAGCUCUGUUGUUGGUGAAGAAGGAUAGAGGUAGUAACUGGCCUUUAUUUGACGGUAAUCAACCAGAAAGUCACGGCUAACUACGUGCCAGCAGCCGCGGUAAUCGUAGGUGGCAAGCGUUGUCCGGAUUUAUUGGGCGUAAAGCGAGCGCAGGCGGAAGAAUAAGUCUGAUGUGAAAGCCCUCGGCUUAACCGAGGAAUUGCAUCGGAAACUGUUUUCUUGAUGCAGAAGAGGAGAGUAGAACUCCAUGUGUAGCGGUGGAAUGCGUAGAUAUAUGGAAGAAUACCAGUGGCGAAGGCGGCUCUCUGGUCUGCAACUGACGCUGAGGCUCGAAAGCAUGGGUAGCGAACAGGAUUAGAUACCCUGGUAGUCCAUGCCGUAAACGAUGAGUGCUAAGUGUUGGGAGGCUUCCGCCUCUCAGUGCUGCAGCUAACGCAUUAAGCACUCCGCCUGGGGGAGUACGACCGCAAGGUUGAA